CACGAUGGCCACGCUCACGGUGGGGUCCUUGGACAGCUCGUACGCGCAGGACAGGCCCGCGGACCCGGCGCCCACGAUCACCACGUCGGUGUCGGCGUGGGUGAUCAUGUCCGUCAUGUAGCGCCGGGUCAUCUCGCGGGACACGAUGGACUCCUUGAUGGGGCUGAACCGGAAGGACGUCAGGUCGUAGGGCGGGGUGGGGGAGGAGGAGAUGGACGCGCGGAUGGGGCCGCCGCCGGCGCGCGGGGUGGCCACGGCCACGGACGACGGGGUGGUGGUGCGCGUGGCCGAAGGGAGCCGGGAGCCCGCGAAGGAGGACUUGAGGAGGCUGGACGCGGCGGUGGUGGCCAUUGCUGACAACGAGAGCUAGGGAGGCGCUAGCUUCUUCCUUCUUGCUGCAGCAGAGCAGUGUAUAGUGAGUGUGUGAGGGACUGAGGACUGAGGGGAUGAGGCUGCCUGGGCUUGCACUGCCAAGGUUUAAGAAGGGGACGCACGGGACGAGGGCGGCAGGCGGCUGCAACAAAUAUCUUGGCUGGCGCCAUAUGCAUGGCUACGUGUAACGUGUUUGCAGAUGGGGCCGGGCGUGACUGGUCACGGGGCACUCUGGGCUCGCUGGCAGCAGCGUGGCACCCACCUGUAGCAGCAGCUGGUGCUUGGCGUGCAUGCAGAUAUUUUGGAGGGUGGAUUGGUGGACUAGUUAGAUCGAGACGUAGUAUACUUUUAUGGAGCAAGUGUACAUAAACUUUCCUACUUAUAUACUGUACUGAAGAUCAGUUCUCUACCAGUGGACGAUGAUGAUGGACUAACGACCAAACACCCCUCCAAUAACAACUUGGCGAUCCUCGGCUGAUUUAGCCCAUCGGUAAAGCAAAAUAUCUGUGGUGCUCUCAACAUCGUCCACUCGUCAGGUGAAUCAUCAUAUCUUUGUGUCUCCUUCGGGUGAUAUUUUCACAUCAUUUUCAAAUGUAUAUGUCAUAAUAAAGUUUAGCCUCAUGUCACAUCGAAUAUUUUAAAUGUCUAUUACGAGUAUUAAAUAUAGUCUAAUUAUAAAACUAAUCACACAACAAAAUAUUUAACACGGAGACAAAAAUUUUAUGCCUAAUUAAUUCAAAAAUAGCAAAUGUUUAUUGUAACACCAUAUAAGUGAAUCAUUGACUGUUGUAAUUAGACUAUACUCUCUUGUUCUAAUUUAUAAUUUGUGUGAUUUAUUUACCUAAAUUUGGUAUGCUCGUCUUAUUUAAAAAAAAUUCAUAAUUAUUUUUAGUUUUCACUCUGAUAUUGUUUACCAUAUAAUAACAUACUUUAAAUAUUGUUUUGAAUUUUUUAUCUUUUAAAAAAACUAAAUACGAUAAGUUGGUCAAAAUUAGCAAAAAAAAAAGUUAAAUGAACUAUAAUUCAGGAGAUAAAUCGGCUUUACUCUGGCUUUAAUCUACAGCUUUACUCUGGCUUUAAUCUAAAACGAACAACAUAAAAAACAGCUCUAAAUUGUGACCGUUGAAGUAGCUAUCACGCCUCGUAAGCAAAUCCCACCAACUGUACCUGCGAGAAAGAUGCCAUGCAGCCAAGACAGGAGACACGACGCAAGCUUCUUGGGCUCAACUGUACCACAAAAUAGGUCACGUCCCCUCAAAUAUCUGAGCGACAUAUAUAUUUGGGAUUUGGCCCGGUCCAUUUACAAGCAAAGGUAUUCAGUUAAAUACUCAUUAUUUUUUGUAACAAAAUUUAUAUAUAUGUAUACAUAUUAUAUCUAUACACUGAAAUAUUGUAAAAACAUAAAAUAACACUGUUUUACAGAUGUUUGGUCCAAACUUCGCUUUUUGCCGGUCUUUUUCAUUUUCCUACCGUAUGACUAGGGAUAGCAAUUGUGCGGUUGGGACACGAGUAUAUGGUUCACAAAUCCAUAAAUGCGAGACAAAAUUGAAUCCAUACUCAUACUCAUAUACAAUCGUAGGUAUAGAUUUGUACUCAUAUCAAAUACCCAUCGGGUAACAGCUAUGGAUAUGAUAUACCAUACCCAUGAAAAAUUUAUCAAUGGAUACCUUAUUAUAUUUAUACUCAUAUGUGUGAAUAACAAAUUAUACCAUAUAUAUACCCGAUGGAUAAUUAUUCGUUCUCAUGAAUAAUAAAUUUAGACGGUUAAAAAAUAUGCCCACUAAAAUUCCGAAUAUCAUCCUCCAAAUCCUGAGCCCCCCUGAUUUGGCCCCAUAUGAUUCAUGACAUAAAAGCGACCUUGCAUCCAAAGGACUUUUCUAUGAAAGGAUGAUGUUUUGUCCAUUUCUCCUUUUCUGCCUAUGUUGUGAGCGCGACCCCCGACAUCUAGAUCUUUCGGACCACUGUCCAAAUGACCUUGACAUUAGAUAUUUCAUCAGGACGCAUCAAGCAUGAGCGACGUAUAACUACUAGAUUAUAAUAACUGAAUUAGCCAAUUAUGUAUUCAAGCAGGAGGAAAGAGUGAAUUAAUUAAAAUUUUGACAAUUUAGGAUUAAAAUAGAAAAUGUCCCCAAUGCUCAUCGUUUUUUUUGGCUUGCCGUGGAAUCCAGAUCAGCAUUUUGAUGCGAUGCCAUACACUUUGACAGCACAUAAUGCACAAUAAAAAGGAGGGCACAUGCGAUACAAAAGUUCAAGCUCCCUCAUGCCCUAUCGGAUCUAAGUUCAUCUUGACUCUCAGCAAUACAACACACAAUGUAUGUAGGGUAUUACGGUCUGGUGGUCCGAACCACUCUAAACACUUUUGUCGGGGACCAUAAUUAGGGGUACCCUCAAGACUACUAAUUCUUAGCUGGUAACCACCAUCAGCACAAAGCUGCAAAGGCCUGAUGGGUGCGACUAAGUCAGGGAUCGGUCUAUUCGAGGGACUCGAUCACGCCUUGCCCGAGCCCAGCAUCGGGCAAGGGCAGCCGACCCUGGAGGAUCUCCGUCUCGCCCGAGGCCCCCCUCCAGCGACGAACGAACUUCCGGCUCGCCCGAGGCCCAGUCUUCACCAAGAAGCAACCCUGGCCAAAUCGCCACGCCAACCGACCAAAUCGCAGGGGCAUUUAAUGCAAAGGCGGCCUGACACCUUUAUCCUGACGCACGUCCUCCAGUCGACAGAGCCGAAGUGACCGCAGUCACUUCGUCGCUCCACUAACCGGCCUGACAGAAGGACAGCGCCGCCUGCGCCGCUCCGACUGCUGUGCCACUCGACAUAGUGAGGCUGACAGGCAGUCAGGCCCAGCCUUAGGCACCAUAGGAAACUCCGCUCCGCCCGACCCAGGGCUCGGACUCGGGCUCAGCCCCGGAAGACGGCGAACUCCGCUCCGCCCGACCCAGGGCUCGGACUCGGGCUCAGCCCCGGAAGACGGCGAACUCCGCUCCGCCCGACCCAGGGCUCGGACUUGGGCUCAGCCCCGGAAGACGGCGAACUCCGCUCCGCCCGACCCAGGGCUCGGACUCGGGCUCAGCCCCGGAAGACGGCGAACCUCGAUCCGCCCGACCCCAGGGCUCGGACUCAGGCUCAUCCCCGGAAGACGACGAACUCCGCUUCGCCUGACCCCAGGGCUCGGACUCAGCCCUGGCCUCAGCCGACGGUCUCCGCCUCACCCGACCCAGGGGCUCGGACUCGACCUCGGCCACGGAAGACAGACUCGACCUCGACCUCGGAGGAGCCUUCACAUCGCCCAACCUAGGGCGCGGACCGACCACGUCAACAGGAGGCGCCAUCAUUACCCUACCCCAAGCUGACUCAGGCCACGGGGAACAAGAUCGGCGUCCCAUCUGGCUCGCUCCGCCAGACAAGUAAUGAUGGCACCCCGCACGCUCUCUGACGACGGCGGCUCUCAGCCCCCUUACGGAAGCAAGAGGACGUCAGCAAGGACUCAACAGCCCCGACAGCUGUCCUUCCGCCAGGCUCCAGCGCUCCUCCGACGGCCACGACACCACACGAACUGGGUGCCAAAACCUCUCCGGCUGCCACGAUGGCAUGUACUUAGGGCGCUAGCUCUCCUCCGCUAGACACGUUAGCACUCUGCUACACCCCCAUUGUACACCUGGAUCCUCUCCUUGCGCCUAUAAAAGGAAGGACCAGGGCCCUCUUACAGAGGGUUGGCCGCGCGGGAAAGAGGACGGGACGGGCGCUCGCGUGAGGCCACUCGCUCCCCCUCCCGCGUGGACGCUUGUAACCCCCUACUGCAAGCGCACCCGACCUGGGCGCGGGACAAACACGAAGGUCGCGGGAUUUCCACCUCUCUCUCUCGCUCCGGCCGCCUGUUCUUCCCCCCUUCGCGCUCCGUCUCGCGCCGACCCAUCUGGGCUGGGGCACGCGGCGACAUUUUCACUCGUCGGGCCAGGGACCCCCCCGGUCUCGAAACGCCGACAGUUGGCGCGCCAGGUAGGGUCCUGCUGCGUGUUGACGAACAACUUCCCGUCAAGCUCCAGAUGGGCAGUCUCCAGUGACCUUUCCAGCCCGGGACGGUGCUCCGUUUCGGGAGUCUUGAGUUCAUGUCCCUCGACAGCAGCUACGACAUGAUGCUCCUUCCCCCGCCGUGCGACAGCGACAAUGGCGACCGACAGCCCGCCCGCCGGUGGCGGAAUCGACGACGUCUUCUCCGCGUGGUGGAAGAACAACAUUCGAGCUCACCCCGCCCUCUCCCCCGCCGACGGAGGAGGAGGCGGGGCAACCAAGGCCAAGCAGGAGGCGGCACCUCGUCGGCUGUCGAGCGAGUCGACGGCGCCGGCGCCCCAACGGGGGGCGCGUCGAGCAUCGACCUCGCGUUUGAGACGAAGGCGAGUGUCAUCUCCCCGCAACACGCCAAUUCGAAGCAAACGGACGACGCCAGCAUGCUCGCGAAAGGCUUGCUGGGUGUCACCUUCGUACCUGAGACGACGGUGCAGUCAGUCCCUGACGUGACUUCAUCACCGCCCGUCGACCAAGAGGUACCGAUCGAUUCCCAUCUCACGCCUCUUGGAUUCAGCCUCGACCCGCCGAGCGGCUUCGCUUUGGCGGGCGCUCUCGUAGAGGCGAGUCCGAACCCUCUGGGGUAUAGUAUGCGGUCACCCUGGGACCGGCUGACGGACGUCUCGACCUACGGGCCCUCGGGGUUCGAGGAAGAUGACGAGCCCGACUUCUGUUGGGACUUCUCCGGACUUGGUAACCUAGUGCCGUGCGGGACUUCAUGACCGCAUGCGACUACUGCCUUUCCGACUGUUCCGACGGUAGCCGCAGCCUCGGCGACGAGGACUGCGGCCCAAGUCGCGAAUGUUUCCACGUCGAUCUAGAGGGUCCCUCCGAAGGCAACCAUCUUGGUAUGCCGGAGAACAGUGAUCUCCCUAGGCCUGUGCCUCACGUUGACAUCCUACGAGAGUUAGCUGUGGUCCCCGAUCCGGCGAGGGGUCAUGACCCACAGCUCGAGCACAUCCGCGGGGUGUCGGCCAGGCUCGACGAGGGAGCAGGAGCGCUUGAGUCGAUCCGCCGGGACGUCGGGCAGGAAUGGGCGGGCCAACCUCCGGCCGGAGAAGUGCGCCAUCUACCCCAGGGUAUCCAGCACCGCAUCGCCGACGAUGUCAGGGUAAGGCCGCCACCCGCUUCCAGUGGGGUCGGCCAGAACCUGGCUGCAGCAGCAAUGCUUCUCCGUGCGAUGCCAGAGCCAUCAACCACCGAGGGGCGGCGAAUCUAGGGAGAGCUCAAGAAUCUCCUGGAGGGCGCCGCGGUCCGACGGGCCGAAAGCUCCGCCUCCCGAAGGCAGGGGUACCCCUCGGAACAUCGCGCCGUGACUUCCCGAUUCAUGCGGGAAGCCUCGGUCCACACCGGGCGCACGCGCAACACAGCGCCUGUGGCCGCGGGACGCCUCGGCAACGAGCACCAUCACCGCAACCGUCGGGCCCACCACGACGAGAGGGUGCGCCGAGGCUACCACCCCAGGCGUGGGGGACGCUACGACAGCGGGGAGUAUCGGAGUCCCUCGCCCGAACCACCCGGUCCGUAGGCUUUCAGCCGCGCCAUACGACGGGCGCCGUUCCCGACCCGGUUCCGAACCCCGACUACUAUCACAAAGUACUCGGGGGAGACGAGACCGGAACUGUGGCUUGCGGACUACCGGCUGGCCUGCCAACUGGGUUGGACUGACGAUGACAACCUCAUCAUCCGCAAUCUCCCCCUGUUCCUCUCCGACACCGCUCGUGCCUAGUUGGAGCACCUGCCUCCGGGGCAGAUCUCCAACUGGGACGACCUGGUCCAAGCCUUCGCCGGCAAUUUCCAGGGCACGUACGUGCGCCCUGGGAACUCCUGGGACCUCCGAAGCUGCCGGCAGCAGCCGAGAGAGUCUCUCCGGGACUACAUCCGGUGAUUCUCGAAGCAGCGCACCGAGCUGCCCAACAUCAUCGAUUCGGAUGUCAUCGGCGCGUUCCUCGCCGGCACCACCUGCUGCGACCUGGUGAGCAAGCUGGGUCGCAAGACCCCCACCAGGGCGAGCGAGCUGAUGGACAUCGCCACCAAGUUCGCCUAUGGCCAGGAGGCGGUUGAGGCUAUCUUCCGGAAGGACAAGCAGCCCCAGGGCCACCCACCGGUAGAUGCCCCCGAGGCGUCAACUCAGCGCGGCGGCAAGAAGAAGGGCAAGAAGAAGUCGCAAGCAAAACACGACGCCGUCGACGUGGACCUUGUCGCCGCCGCCGAGUACAAGAACCCUCGGAAACCCCCCGGAGGUGCCAACCUCUUCGACAAGAUGCUCAAGGAGCUGUGCCCCAAUCAUCAGGGGCCCGUCAAGCACACUCUUGAGGAGUGCGCCAUGCUUCGGCGCCACUUCCACAGGGUCGGGCCACCCGCGGAGGGUGGCAAGGCCGCGACGACGACAAGAGGAAGGAUCACCAGGCAGGAGAGUUCCCCGAGGUCCGCGACUGCUUCAUGAUCUACGGCGGGCAAGCGGCAAACGCCUCGUCUCGGCACCACAACCAAGAGCGUCGGGAGGUCUGUUCGGUGAAGGUGGCGGUGCCAGUCUACCUAGACUGGUCCGACAAGCCCAUCACCUUCGACCAAGCCGACCACCCCGACCACGUGCCGAGCCCGGGGAAAUACCCGCUCGUUGUCGACCACGUCAUCGGCGACGUCAGACUCACCAAGGUCCUCAUGGACGGAGGCAGCAGCCUCAACAUCAUCUACGUCGAGACCCUCGGGCUCCUGCAUGUUGAUCUGUCCUCGGUCCGGGCAGGCGCUACGCCUUUCCACGGGAUCAUCCCCGGGAAGCGCGUCCAGCCCCUCGGACAACUCGACCUUCUCGUCUGCUUCGGAACACCCUCCAACUUCCGAAGGGAGACCCUCACGUUCGAGGUGGUCGGGUUCCAAGGAACCUACCACGCAGUAUUGGGGAGGCCAUGCUACGCGAAGUUCAUGACCGUCCCCAACUACACCUACCUCAAGCUCAAGAUGUCGGGCCCCAACGGGGUCAUCACUGUCGGCCCCACGUACAAACACGCGUUCGAAUGUGACGUGGAGUGCGUGGAGUACGCCGAGGCCCUCGCCGAGUCCGGGGCCCUCAUCGCCGACCUGGAGAGCCUCUCUAAGGAGGUGCCAGACGUGAAGCGUCACGCCGGCAACUUCGAGCCAGCGGAGACUGUUAAGUCCGUCCCUAGAGAUGGCAAUGGGGACCCGAUCCCCGAUUCCCCACGGGGAAUUCAUCCAUUAGGGGAUGGGGAUGGGAAAGAAACUUCCCCCGCGGGGAUAUAAACGGGGAAAGUUUAUCCCCCGACGGGUAAACGGGGAUGGGGACGGGGAAGCAUUCCCCAUCCCCGUUCCCCGCGGGGACCCGUUAACUUGCACGUGACUAUGUUUUGUGUACCGGUUAACAACAAAAAUAAAUAAUUACCUUGUCAAGAGACCACUAAUUGUAUAAAUGUGUUCAUUUUGAUGUAUGCAUAAUGAUUUCUUACAUCUGACAAUGUGUAUAAGUGAUAAUGUUUAACAUUAAUAACAAAGAACAUAUGUAUUAAUUAUAAUUUUAAUGGGGAUGGGGAUCCCCGUUAGGAUUUAUCCUCGUGGGGAACGGGGAUGGGGAAGAAAUGUUCCCCGCAAGCGUUCGUGGGGAUCCCCGCGGAGAAAUUUUUUCGUCGCGGGGACGGGUAUGGGGGCUAUUCCCCGACGGGGAAUUCCCCGUUGCCAUCCCUAUCCGUCCCCCUCGACCCUAGCGGCGACGCCUCCAAGCAGAUCCGGAUCGGCUCCGAGCUCAAUCCCAAAUAGGAAGCAGUGAUCGUCGACUUUCUCCGCGCAAACGCCGAUGUUUUCGCGUGGAGUCCCUCGGACAUGCCCGGCAUACCGAGGGAUGUCGCCGAGCACUCGCUGGAUAUCCGAGCUGGAGCCUGACCCGUGAAGCAGCCUUUGCGCUGAUUCGACGAAGAAAAGCGUAGAGCCAUUGGCGAGGAGAUCCACAAGCUAAUGGCGACAGGGUUCAUCAAAGAGGUAUUCCAUCCCGAAUGACUUGCCAACCCUGUGCUUGUGAGAAAGAAAGGAGGGAAAUGGCGGAUGUGUGUAGACUACACUGGUCUAAACAAAGCAUGUCCGAAGGUUCCCUACCCUCUGCCUCGCAUCGAUCAAAUCGUGGAUUCCACUGCUGGGUGCGAAACCCUGUCUUUCCUCGACGCCUACUCAGGGUAUCACCAAAUCAGGAUGAAAGAGUCCGACCAGCUCGCGACUUCUUUCAUCACACCCUUCGGCAUGUACUGUUAUGUCACCAUGCCGUUUGGCUUGAGGAAUGCGGGUGCGACGUACCAGCGGUGCAUGAACCAUGUGUUCGGCGAACAACAUUGGCCGGCGGUCGAGGCCUACGUCGAUGACAUCGUAGUCAAGACGAGGAAAGCCUCCGACCUCCUUUCCGACCUUGAAGUGACAUUCCGAUGUCUCAAGGCGAAGGCGAGAAGCUUAAUCUCGAGAAGUGUGUCUUUGGGGUUACCUGAGGCAUGCUCUUGGGGUUCAUCGUCUCCGAGCGGGGCAUCGAAGCCAACCCGAAGAAGAUUGCGGCCAUCACCAGCAUGGGGCCCAUCAAGGACUUGAAGGCGUACAGAGAGUCAUGGGAUGUCUUGCGGCUCUGAGCCGUUUCGUCUCACGCCUCGGCGAAAGAGGUCUGCCUCUGUACCGCCUCUUAAGGAAGGCCGAGUGCUUCACUUGACCCCUGAGGCCGAGGAAGCCCUCGGGAACCUGAAGGCGCUCCUCACCAACGCGCCCGUCUUGGUGCCCCCGCUCCGGAGAAGCCUCUUGAUCUACGUCGCCACGACCACUCAGGUGGUUAGCGCCACGAUCGUGGUUGAGAGAUGAGAAGAAGGGCAUGCAUUGCCGUCCAGAGGCCAGUCUACUUCAUCAGCGAGGUACUGUCCGAGACCAAAGAUCCGCUACCCACAAGUUCAGAAGCUGCUGUACGCGGUGAUCCUGACGUGGCGGAAGUGUGCGACACUACUUCGAGUCUCAUCCGGUAACUGUGGUGUCAUCCUUCCCCCUGGGGGAGAUCAUCCAGUGCCGAGAGUGUCGGUGUUUUGGGUCCGACCACACACCCGGGGUUGCCCCUCGAGGUGUUUUUAGGAGUAGGACGGUGUCAACGACUGUAGCAAAAUGGUUCGUGCCGAUCGCACGAGGGACAAUGGACAAGAUUUACAGGUUCGGGCCGCUUAGAAGUGUGUAACACCCUACGUCCUGGUGAGUAUAUGAGCGUGGUUACAAGAGGACUCUCUGAUUGAGGGCACAGAGAGUUUACGUGGGUGGCUAAGAAUAGAGUCGAUCGUUCUGAAGGGGUGCCUCCUAGGCCUUAUAUACUCGACCGUGGGGCAGUACACGUGGGUAUGAUAGCUACAAGUAACUAAAAGAUAGAGAACCUCUCAAGUUUAUCCUGCGUGAUCCUCCCCGACUUAUCCUCGCACGGCUUCGUUGCAUGGGAGCUCCAGCGCGGGAAAGUCGGGUCUCCGUUGCAGCCGCUUGCUCGACGAUGUGGGCCAUCCGAGUUUGCACCAAUCUGGCCUCAUUUCGUUCUCCCUUGCUGGUUGUUCCCCCCAGGCCCACGAAAGAACGACCUUACGAAUUAUUGGGCCCUUGGGCCUUUCGUGUGGCCUUUUACUUCUUUAGUGGACCCAGGGGAUAUCUAUCCCCCACAAGCCCCCGAUCUUUGGGUUGAUUUAGAGGUAAUCAACUCAAAGAUCCAAGGUCCAAGAAGUGAUUCCCUGCUGUCUUCUCUUGCUCUGAUCACUCGUCUGACCAAAGUUUAGCUUUGUGCUUGUGCCUUAGAGGUCGGCAUUUUGGAUUGUAAGAUUCUGGACUUCAUUGGGUGCACCGGAGGUGCACCCAAUGGGUGUAGCCCCCGAGCUUCGAGUAGAUUUUAGAAAACAAUCUACUCGAAGGUCUUCCUCAAAGAUUAUCUCCAUUGGUGCUCCUGCGUUUUGGUUGAGGUUUGGCCUUUUAAUCUUGUCUCACGCCUUAGAGGUCGGUACUUUCUUGGUUUGGAAUGGUAAUCCAUGGGGUGCACCGGAGGUGCACCCAAUGGGUGUAGCCCCUGACCUUCAAAUGGAUUUUUUAAGGAUAAUCCAUUCGAAGGUCUUCCUUUUGCUUGUAAAAAUUGGCGUGAAGCUAUUUGCAUUAUGCUUUGGAGGUCAGCAUUAUGUCAUCAAUAUUUUGCUGCAGAGGUCAGCAUCUAUUUUGUCUUUAGCAGCCGAGUCUGCAACCCAUCCAUAUCUUGCUAGGUGAUGCAAUUUAUUUGCUUCUGCGACUUGAUUGGACGUUUGAUGGACGUUCUCUGUCUAGUCAUCUGUGUCGCUUCUGUCGGUCAUAUCUUGUACUUUGCUGGCUAUAUUUGGCUUUCCUCUGAUCCUUACUAAUAUCUCAUUUUUGUCUUGAGGUUUUUACUGCAUGCCCUGCACGGAUGUGACCGUUUUGAAAAAUAUACUGAUAAUUCCUGGCGUCCCCCCCCAAUGGGUGUGGGCAAGGGACGUCUUGGUACGCUGAGUGUUUUUACCGGUCGCUUCUGAGUAGUAAAGUGACGGGACGGCGAGUGUAAUCAUAUCCUUUGCACUGUUGACUGGAGUCCCAAUGGGUGUAGAGUUGCAUGAAACGGCGUCAGCCGCCUGACGUGUCUUCAGAUGGGUGGAAGUGCUUAUUGAAUGCUUUGCGACUGUUCAGUGACCGCGGUUGGAGGUGAGCGGUUGCCUUUCCUUUCUAUAAAUAAUGCCUUUGCUCCCUAGUUUUUUCGCAUCCUUUGCUGUUCUCUGCUUCUUCCCUUUCUUCUCUCCCAAAGCUUCCACCAUGGGCAAGAACAAUAAACGCAAGCGUGAGCCGACUCCACCGUCGGAGGAUUUCGGUGACUCGGAAUACUCGGAGGAGGAGUUCUCCUCCGAGUCCGAGGGAUCUCCGGCUCCCGUAUCUCCCCCGGCGUCGUCUGAUGAUUCAGACGACUCCCAGGGGAUUGCCGCGGAGGUCUGGACGUACAUCCGGGCCGUCGAGCGAUCCGGGCUCGAGGGCUCGGAUGAGUCUGAGUUCUCCUCGGACGAGGAGGACUCGGACGGCGGCGAGGACGAAGAUGACGAUGACGAUGACGACGACGGCGACGACGACGAUGAUGGCGACGGCGACGGCAACAACGGCGGCGGGGGCAGCGGCGGCAAGGGCGGCACCAGAGGCGGCAGCAGCAGGGCAGCACCAGAGGCGGCAGCAGCAAGGGCAGCAGCAGCAAGGCCAGUGGCUAAACGCCACUGGUCUUUAGAUAUUAGUAUAGUGUAGUUAGAAUAAAGUAGCAGUAAUGUAGAGUAGUAUAGUGUAAUUUAGUAGUAGUAGUAAUGUAGAGUAGUAGCAGGGAAGCGCCAACUCGCAAAGAGUUGGUUUGUAAUUUCAUUAACUUCCCCUUAAUGAAGAACUGUCGUUGACCCCCUUUUUGAUGACUCGGUGUUGCUUUUUCUGACUGUUGAACUGGUUCUUUUGAUAUAGUAGAUGAAUAACUUGCACAUCAUAUUGACGCUUCCAGAAGUAGCUGCCGAGUAAUAUUGUAGUCGGUAUCGGCAUUUUAGAAGCAACGCCGAGCGAUUGAAAGUUGACAUCAGCGUUUUAGAAGUAACACCGAGCAAUCGGACACGAGAUCGGCUUUUUUAGAGGCCACGCCGAGUGACCGAAGGUCGGUAUUGGCAUUUUAGAAGUAAUGCCAAGUGAUAGAAUGCAAGUUCAGCGUUUUGGAGGCAACGCCGAAUGAUUGGAGGUCGGCGUCGGCGUUUUAGAAGUAACGUCGAGCGAUUGAACACGAGGUCGGCGUGUUAGAAACCGUGCCAAGUGAUUGAAGGUCAGCAUCGGCGUUUUAGAAGUAAUGCGCGAGCGAUAGAAUACAGGGUCAGCGUUUUAGAGGCAACGCCGAGUGGUUUGAAGGUCUGCGUCGACAUUUUAGAAGUAAUGCAAGCGAUAGAAUACGAAGUCAGCGUCUUAGAGGCAACGCCGAGUGGUUUGAAGGUCGGCGUCGGCAUUUUAGAAGUAAUGCCGAGCGAUAGAAUACAGGGUCAGCGUUUUAGAGGCAACGCUGAGUACUAGCCAGCCGCGCGGGUUAUUUGAGGAUAACAUCCGAGUGAUGAGGUGGCACGCCGACUUUUUCGGAAAUAACCGCCAGAUGUCCAUGUGGCAUGCUGAGGUUUCGGAAAUAACCGCCGGGUGAUGACUGGGCGCUUUUUGAAAAGGUAUCUGGCUCAAGAAUAUCCCAUAAGAGUUGCGCUUUAGCCGCCUUUGCUUUUCGUGCCCUAGUUCUUGCAUUUCCGCAUCUGAACUUCUCUGCCACUCGUCUCCUACUCUGUUCGCGCAGUGAGAAGCAAGAUGGCGCCCAAGAGGAAAACUGCGAACUCGUCAGCUGCGGUGAUCCCCGCAAUCGACCCCAACAGUCAGUUACCUUUCGCAGGUAACCACAUGUCCGUUAUUUCCGAAACUGAGCUUCUCCGUCUUGCUCCAUCGGGGUUCUUCCUCCGCGGGAACUCUGUUCUUGGCGGAUCUGCCACGGGACUACUGUCCCAACCGAAGAUACCCACGAGUCAGUAGUUUAUGCUCCUUUUCUUCUCCGCGGCCUCGGCCUUCCAAUCUCUCCUUUUUUCCGUGGCCUUCUUGACUUUUAUCAUAUCAACUUUGACCCACUUGAACCCUAAUUCCAUUCUCCAAAUCUCCAUUUUCGUUCACCUAUGCGAAGCCUACCUCGGUGUGCUGCCGCAUUUUGGUUUAUGGAAGUAUCUGUAUCAUUGUCGCCCUGGAAUGGCUGGGGGGCAACAUCAGCUGGUCGGAGGUGCUAGUUUGGAGAUGCGCCGUGGGCGGAAGACCGAGUAUCUCGAGAUUCCCCUCAAAGAAUAGCAUUAAAGGUCGGCGUCUGGAGUGGUUUAUAGUUGAUAAUUAUGGAAAUUCUCUCCCUCCCGGUCAGGAAGACAGCCAGACGUUCGUACUCCGAGUUGGACUGAGUCUCCCACGGAUCAGGAAGUGGCCGAGGCAGGCGUGUUGCUUACUGAAGUCGGAUUACUGAAAGAGAGAGGUCUGACUGCUGAAGCGUGGUAACAGAUUUUGUUUUCAAGGACAUUCAGCGCUAAAANNNNNNNNNNNNNNNNNNNNNNNNNNNNNNNNNNNNNNNNNNNNNNNNNNNNNNNNNNNNNNNNNNNNNNNNNNNNNNNNNNNNNNNNNNNNNNNNNNNNAAAAAUGGGUCGGCAGUAAUGGCGGUGGCAGGCGGGUAGAAGCAGCGGUCACGUCGUCAGCCAAGCUCACUCACCUCGUGGGACAGCGAGAGAACCCUCUCUCACGGCGUUGGAAGACGACGCCCCGUGUUCCGUUCCUCGAACGGCCCAUGUACGUGCAACGGCUGCCUGCAAACCACUCGCCCCGUCGCAUUAACUCCGCGGCGGGACAGGCGGCACCUUUGGCAGGGAAGCGAGCGACGCUUCACCUUCGCCAUAAUGACCGCGUCAAAAAAUGCGCCACGUCAUCCAAUUUGUAUUCUUUCCCUUUUCCUCUUUCUCUCUCUUACAACAGAGACCGGGAAAGGGAUACCCCGAAAGGGAUCCUUCUCCGCGAAGGAAACAGGCCCCGAGCCUCCCUACUGAUCAGAGGUUCAAAGGCUGGCCCCUCGGAGGGUUCGACAGCCGCCUCAGAGCGCUCGGGCUCCGCGCCCACUACUGGUCAGAGGUUCGAAGGCCGCUCCUCGGAAGGUUCAACGACGCCUUAGGCCACUCGGGCUCCGCGCCCACUACUGAUCAGGGGUUCGUUAGGCUGGCCCUCGAAGGGUUCACAGCCGCCUCAGACAUAGAGCGAGGGAUGAGCCUAGGUACGUUCGAUACAUAACCAAGGCUCGGGCUACGCUCCCGAGGUACCCCUAGGACAUUUUCGAGACCAGCGGGAAUGAUCUUGUAAUGGAAUCCCAUCAGAGGGAGGCAUCGAGCCUCGGACCCCGUCAAAAGGGGACCGGGUCCGGCAGAUCACCCGUAGGUACUUUUGGAGCAUGCCUCCGGGCCUCUAGCCGACCCCUAACAAAUGGGGCACGAGCGUCCACUCGGAUUACCCAUCAGCAGCUCACUGGAGACCCAUGUUCGGCGCCCUCCAAGGGCAACAUGGCGCUUUUCCCCCUCCUCCUUGCGGAAAGGCGACGCAGGGGCGUAUGUAAAAAGUCGAGUCUGUCCUUGACCGUCCUCUCGCCCUGUGCGGAGGCUCGGGGGCUGCUCUCGCAAACCCGGCUCCGGCCAAACCGUUGACAACGUCAACAUACCAGACCGAGAACUUGGGACUCGACCGUGCACCCGGGCUACGGCCAGCUCGCAUGAGGGAACGACCAGACCGACCGAACAUUGUGAAAUGCAUUAGACCUCGAAGGAGUCAAACCACUCUCCGAGGCCUCGGGGGCUACACCCGGGGGUGUGCUCGUGCGCACCCACCGGAACAAAAUGCAACGAGAAAGGUUGGUUCCCUUGCAAAAAGUGCGACAAAGCCUCCAAGCGAGUAUUAACACUCCCUUCGAGGCUCAGGGGCUACUGUUGGGGUCCAUAAUUAGGGUACCCUCAAGACUCCUAAAUCUCAGCUGGUAACCCCAUCAGCACAAAGCUGCAAAGGCCUAUGGGUGCGAUUAAGUCAAGGACCGGUCCAUUCGAGGGACGCGAUCGCGUCUCGCCCGAGCCUAGCCUCGGGCAAGGGCAGCCGACCCUGGAGGAUUUACGUCUCGCCCGAGGACCCCUACGACACGGACACACCUUCGGCUCGCCCGAGGCCCAGUCUUCACCAAGAAGCAACCUUGGCCAAAUCGCCACGCCAAUCGACCGAAUCGCAGGGGCGUUUAAUGCAAAGGUGGCCUGACACCUUUAUCCUGACGCGCGCCCUCCAGUCGACAGAGCUGAAGUGACCGCAGUCACUUCGCAGCUCCACUGACAGGCCUGACAAGAGGACAGCGCCACCUGCGCCGCUCCGACUGUCGUGCCACUCGACAGAGUGAGGCUGACAGCAGCCAAGUCCGGCCUCAGGCGCCAUAGGAAACUCCACAUCGCCCGACCCCAGGGCUCGAACUCGGGCUCAGCCCCGGAAGACGACGAACUCCGCAUCGCCCGACCCCAGGGCUCGGACUCGGGCUCAGCCCCGGAAGACGACGAACUCCGCAUCGCCCGACCCUAGGGCUCGGACUCGGGAACGGCCCCGGAAGACGACGAACUCCGCUUCGCCGACCCCAGGGCUCGGACUCGGGCUCAGCCCCGAAAGACGACGAACUCCGCUUCGCCCGACCCCAGGGCUCGGACUCAGCCCUGGCCUGAGCCGACGGUCUCCGCCUCGCCCGACCCAGGGGCUUGGACUCGACCUCGGCCUCGGAAGACAUACUCGACCUCGACCUCGGAGGAGCCUCCACCUCGCCCAACCUAGGGCUCAGACCGACCACGUCGCAGGAGGCGCCAUCAUUACCCUACCCCAAGCUGACUCAGGCUACGGGGAACAAGACCGGCGUCCCAUCUGGCUCGCUCUGCCAAACAGUAAUGAUGGCGCCCCGCAUGCUCUAUGACGACGGCGGCUCUCAACCCCCUUACGGAAGCAAGAGGACGUCAGCAAGGACCGACAGCUGUCCUUCCGCCAGGCUCCGGCGCUCCUCCGACGGCCACGACACCACACGAACCGGGUGCCAAAACCUCUCCGGCUGCCACGAUGACAUGUACUUAGGGCACUAGCUCCCCUCCGCUAGACACGUUAGCGCACUGCUACACCCCCCAUUGUACACCUGUAUCCUUUCCUUACGCCUAUAAAAGGAAGGUCCAAGGCCCUCUUAGAGAGGGUUGGCCGCGCGGGGAAGGACGGGACGGCGCUCGCGCAAGGCCGCUCGCUCCCUCCCGCGUGGACGUUUGUAACCCCCUACUGCAAGCGCACCCGACCUAGGCGCGGGACAAACACGAAGGCCGCGGGAUUUCACCUCUCACGCCUGUCUCCCUUCGGCUUCUUCCCCCCUUCGCGCUCCGUCUCGCGCCGACCCAUUUGGGCUGGGGCACGCGGCGACAAUUUACUCGUCGGCCCAGGGACCCCCCGGGUUCGAAACGCCGACAGUACAAAACAUGGCCAAAUUUCACUUUAAUAUAGGGGUGUUCUAUAAAAUUAAAGAAAGUUCUUUUUGCCAAAAGAUAUGUGAAAUGGACUUGGCUAAAAAUUGUUUUUCAAGAAAAUCCAGAUCGAGAAACGUUUUUUUGUAAGUUAGAUUCCUGCCAAACAACCCUUAGAAUGUGUUUGGUUCAAUGUGAGCUAUAAAAAAUGUUGUGAGUUAUAUAUAUGGAAAAGUUGUUGUAAAUUAUUUGCUACAGAAAAUCUAAAAGUCGUUUAAUUUAACCAUAUGAGCUAUCUAUUGUAAACAGACUGUAUACUAUUUACAUACACUUUGUUUUACUAUAUCUCUUAAUUAAUGUAUCUAAUUAAAAAUCCGAUUUUCACAUUUGUGUUUGUAAUACUUUAACAAUUGAAACUAGACUCUACCUGCUAUAUAUACCUUAUUAAAACAUAUAUUUAUUUUAUUUAUUGUAACACUUAAUUCUUUUACAUUCCAUUUGUGUUUUCUAUUACCGUACCUCUUCAUUAAAGUAUUACUAGUCAUAUAUCCGUGCAUUGCUACGGUUUAUAUAUAUAUAUAUAUAUAUAUAUAUAUAUAUAUAUAUAUAUAUAUAUAUAUAUAUAUAUAUAUAUUAUAUAUAUGACAUAGGAUAAAUUUUGUUUUAAUAAAGCACAAUAUAUAUGUUUUCUAUUGAUUAGGUGGGUGUGAAUAUAAAGCCAACAACCAAGGUUUAAAUACUCACUUAUACAUAAUUUAACCUUAUUUUUACAUAAACUCUCCUAUUAUAGUAGUAGAUAAGAGAUUAUAGGAGUACAAGUUGAUUUUAAAAAAUAUAGGUUUUUUUUAAAAAAAAUUGACGUGGACGACCGUUGAAACUUGUGCUUUAAUAUAGUAGAGAAAUAAAUAAAUAAAUUAUACAAUUCAAUUUUAUUGAAUUUUUAUUUAAAAUAUUUUUACACCAUUUAUUAUAGUACUUAAUUAUUUUUUAUUCCUAGUUUACUUUCUAUUUGCCAUAUCUCUUUAUAAACACGUCGAAGUUGGAUAAGCACCAAAAAGCAACGUCCAAAUUGCUUUCAAAUCUGUACACGGGAAAGCUAUUUCCUUUUAAAGUAGUAGCACUAGCAUUCGGUUCAGUUUGUAAUUUCUAAAAAAUAGAAACAUGUUCAAAAAAGCCAAAUGCCGUUGGCUGCUUUCUAUUGCUACAGUGUUUACGCAGCGAGUUGUCGUGAUCGGACAUAUAGGGCCCAGCUAGCCAUAUGUAUCAAACCAAACGACAAACGGGUGCGCCAAAGCAUCGUACGGUAUUUGUCUGGAUUGUAUAACUUGCCAAGACUUGUAAUGGGCUGUAGCAAUCCUUGCUGCGGUCCUUGUUCUUGUCGAUCCAACAACUCUACGCCGAAGCGAAACGUUGGCGCACUGGGCGCCCUUCUAUCUGCGAGUCACGGUUUGAAAGCGAUUACGGUUACUGGGCCGAACAGAACAGAGAAGCAACACCAACAAGACAAUUUAAACCAUGCAUUUUUAUUGUUUCACCACAAUUCCAUCUUCUCUUAUUCGUUCUGACAGCAGCAGGAGACCCCACGAGUGGCCCCCACGUGACAGAGCACACGGCAUGGCGUAGCUGUGGCAUGGUGCUACACGAACACGACACACUAACGAGACAGAUUAAAGCUAACCGAUCGAAGGGAAUUCAUUCGUCCAACAACAACAAAGUCCCAGAUUAAAAGAAGAAACCCCGUGAUGGCGCCGGCCCAGAUAAGACGCUGCUUGCAUGCUGGCGCGUGGAUGCUCGCUCAGGCGUCCACGACCUCGUCGUCCUUGGACGCAAUCACGAACUCCUCGCGCAGCGCCGGCGACACCUCGGGGAUGGUCCCGUCCACGGCGUUGGGCCUGCCCAGUGCCUUCAGCGCCAGGUGCGCCGCCUUCUGGCCGGAGAUCAUCAUGGCGCCGAACGUCGGGCCCUGCGUCAUGCAAACCAACACCAAAUUAAUCAGUGAAUUGAUAAUUAAGGAGUAGCAGCAGCUAGCUAGCUGUCUUCCCAAUCAAAUCAAUCGGUGGGCAAUUAAGGAGUAGCAGCAGCUAGCUAGCUGUCUUCCUCAAUUAAUGACUGACCAUCCUCGGGGCGCCGUCGAUCUCGGCGACCUCCAUCCCGGUGACGAUCAUGCCGGGCACGACCUCGCGCGUGAGGCGCACGAUCUCGUCCUCGGCGGCGUUCAUGUCGAGCGCCUUCAUCCGGGCACGGCGCUGAUCAUGCCGAUGUCCUGGAGCCUCUUGACGCCGGUGGCGCCGAAGGGCCCGUCGUGGCCGCAGGAGCUGACCACCACCUUGGCCUCCAUCACGUUGGGGUCCAUGCACGACUGCGUGUCGUGGUUCAUGGACACGAGCGCCCAGUUGGUGACCACGCCGCCGACGCGCCCCCGCCGCACGAUCAGGUCCUCCACCGCCACGGCGUUGAACAGCUUCACGUUGGGCCGCGCCAGGAGCCGGCUCAUCACGGUGGACGUGAACAGCGCCGCGUGCUUGACCACCACGUAGUCCUCGGCCUCGUCGUAGCCCACGCCCAGCUCGUCCAGGAACAGGUGCGCCGGCCUGCGCACCACCAUGGCCGAGAACAGCUGCCCGCCCAGCCACGCGCCGCCGCCCGGGGACACGGACUGCUCCACGAUGGCCACGCUCACGGUGGGGUCCUUGGACAGCUCGUACGCGCAGGACAGGCCCGCGGACCCGGCGCCCACGAUCACCACGUCGGUGUCGGCGUGGGUGAUCAUGUCCGUCAUGUAGCGCCGGGUCAUCUCGCGGGACACGAUGGACUCCUUGAUGGGGCUGAACCGGAAGGACGUCAGGUCGUAGGGCGGGGUGGGGGAGGAGGAGAUGGACGCGCGGAUGGGGCCGCCGCCGGCGCGCGGGGUGGCCACGGCCACGGACGACGGGGUGGUGGUGCGCGUGGCCGAAGGGAGCCGGGAGCCCGCGAAGGAGGACUUGAGGAGGCUGGACGCGGCGGUGGUGGCCAUUGCUGACAACGAGAGCUAGGGAGGCGCUAGCUUCUUCCUUCUUGCUGCAGCAGAGCAGUGUAUAGUGAGUGUGUGAGGGACUGAGGACUGAGGGGAUGAGGCUGCCUGGGCUUGCACUGCCAAGGUUUAAGAAGGGGACGCACG
rnacentral:lncRNA from 1 species